UACAGAGGUCCCGAGCGUUGUUCGGAUUCACUGGGCGUAAAGGGUGCGUAGGUGGUGAGGUAAGUCGGAUGUGAAAUCUCCGGGCUCAACCCGGAAAUGGCAUUGGAAACUACCCUGCUAGAGGAUUUGAGGGGGGAUUGGAAUACUUGGUGUAGCAGUGAAAUGCGUAGAUAUCAAGUGGAACACCAGUGGCGAAGGCGAAUCCCUGGAAAAUACCUGACACUGAGGCACGAAAGCUAGGGGAGCAAACAGG
rnacentral:rRNA from 1 species